AUGUUCCUGCAGGAGUGCGGGCUAGGUGGUUGUGAUAUUGCCAAGCUGUGCGUCUCUGCGCCGAGGAUGCUCGGCAACAAACUGGAAAGCGUCCAGGCAAUGGUGGCGCACGCCGAAGGUCUGGGUGUGCCCCGUGGCUCGGGGAUGUUCAAGAUUGCGCUACAGGCUGUCGCAUUCCUCAGCGAGGAGAAGAUCGCCGCCAAAGUGGACUACCUGAAGAAGACGUUCAGUUGGUCGGAUGCUGAGGUGGUCGUUGCUUUGUCUAUGGCUCCAAUGCUGCUGAAGAGGUCAAAGGACAUCCUGCAGCGCAGGUUCGAGUUCCUUGUCUCUGAGGUGGGCUUGGAAUCGGGGUACAUUGCUCAUCGGCCGGUAAUCCUCUAUUAUAGCCUGGAGGGCCGGAUCAAGCCCCGGUGCCAUGUUCUAAAGUUCCUCAAGGAAAACAGAUUGCUCGAUCGCGACUGGAGCUUCUAUACUGCAGUCAAUAGGUCUGAGAAGUAUUUCAUGAAGAAGUGCAUAUGCCCUUACAAGGAAGCUGCACCACACCUUGCUGAAGACUAUGCAGCUGCUUGCAGAGGGGAAAUGCCAAGUUAA
rnacentral:rRNA from 1 species